rnacentral:rRNA from 1 species
GAUGAACGCUAGCUACAGGCUUAACACAUGCAAGUCGAGGGGAAACGAUAUUGGAAGCUUGCUUUCGAUGGGCGUCGACCGGCGCACGGGUGAGUAACGCGUAUCCAACCUGCCCACCACUUGGGGAUAACCUUGCGAAAGUAAGACUAAUACCCAAUGAUAUCCCACGAAGGCAUCCGAAUGGGAUUAAAGAUUUAUCGGUGAUGGAUGGGGAUGCGUCUGAUUAGCUUGUUGGCGGGGUAACGGCCCACCAAGGCAACGAUCAGUAGGGGGUUCUGAGAGGAAGGUCCCCCACAUUGGAACUGAGACACGGUCCAAACUCCUACGGGAGGCAGCAGUGAGGAAUAUUGGUCAAUGGGCGAGAGCCUGAACCAGCCAAGUAGCGUGCAGGACGACGGCCCUAUGGGUUGUAAACUGCUUUAUAAGGGAAUAAAGUGAGUCUCGUGAGGCUUUUGCAUGUACCUUAUGAAUAAGGACCGGCUAAUUCCGUG